rnacentral:rRNA from 1 species
UGAGGAAUAUUGGUCAAUGGGCGGAAGCCUGAACCAGCCAAGUAGCGUGCAGGAAGACGGCCCUAUGGGUUGUAAACUGCUUUUGGAGGGGGGUAAAGUGAACGUCGUGCACGUUUAUUGCAAGUACCCUUCGAAUAAGGAUCGGCUAACUCCGUGCCAGCAGCCGCGGUAAUACGGAGGAUCCGAGCGUUAUCCGGAUUUAUUGGGUUUAAAGGGUGCGUAGGCGGGGAGUCAAGUCAGCUGUGAAAAUCCGGUGCCCAACAUCGGCAGUGCAGUUGAAACUGGCUUUCUUGAGAGUGCGUGAGGCAGGCGGAAUUCAUGGUGUAGCGGUGAAAUGCAUAGAUAUCAUGAAGAACUCCGAUAGCGAAAGCAGCUUGCCCUUUCACAUCUGACGCUGAGGCACGAAAGUGCGGGUAUCAAACA